rnacentral:rRNA from 1 species
CGCAUCUGUGCAUGCAGCAUAUCAAUAAGCGGAGGAAAAGAGGGCUAUUACCUACGCUUAGGAUGUUGAAGCAGUAUAGACUGUCGAUCUCGUCUAUACAUGACUCUGUGCAUAUCAAUAAGCGGAGGAAAAGAAACUAACAAGGAUUCCCCUAGUAACGGCGAGUGAAGCGGGAAGAGCUCAAAUUUGAAAUCUUAAAGGGUUUCCCUUUACGAAUUGUAGUUUAAAGAAGUGUUUUCUGUUGAGGUUUUGGUAAAAGUUCUUUGGAAUAGGACAUCAUAGAGGGUGAGAAUCCCGUAUUUGACCUUUACUUUCAACUUUGUGAUACACUUUCAAAGAGUCGGAUUGUUUGGGAAUGCAGUCCAAAAUGGGUGGUAAAUUUCAUCUAAAGCUAAAUAUUGGCGAGAGACCGAUAGCGAACAAGUACCGUGAGGGAAAGAUGAAAAGAACUUUGAAAAGAGAGUUAAACAGUACGUGAAAUUGUCAAAAGGGAAGCGUUUGACACCAGUGUUGUUUUUCUGAAAAUCAAUUAAAGAACUGUUUAUGCUAAGUUGUUUAGACUUUAUCAGCUAACUGUUUAGUUUUGAGCUUUUCUUUAAUGCACUUUUCAGUUAACAAGUCGACAUCAAUUUCUUUUGCUGUAAAAAACUUGAGGAAGGUGGCUUGAGAUUCGUCUUAAGUGUUUAUAGCCUCUUGCCUAUGCAGUCGGAGAGAUUGAGGUCUGCAGCGUAGAUCCUUCGGGGCUAAAUGCAUUUGUGCUAAGUUAUAGCAUUUUAUAGACAACUUGUUGACUAUGAUUUGUCUUGUAGCUUACUCGCUUAUGUUAUUUUACCUACGCUUAGGAUGUUGAGUCAUCACACAUCUCU